UACAGAGGUCUCGAGCGUUAGGCGGAAUCACUGGGCUUAAAGCGUGUGUAGGCGGAUCGUUAAGUACCUUGUGAAAUCCCACGGCUUAACCGUGGAACUGCUUGGUAUACUGGCGGUCUUGAGCCAGCUAGGGGCUACCGGAACAAAUGGUGGAGCGGUGAAAUGCGUAGAUAUCAUUUGGAACGCCAAUGGUGAAAACAGGUAGCUGGGGCUGUGCUGACGCU
rnacentral:rRNA from 1 species